rnacentral:rRNA from 1 species
AUGCUUUCCCCAUGCAAGUCGAACGGUAGAGGGGGCAACCCUUUAGAAGUGGGGAACGGGUGAGUAAUGUAUUGGAACGGGCCCAGUCGUGGGGGAUAAGGUAGUGAAAAUUGCGCUAAUACCCCAUACGAUCUAUGGAUGAAAGCGGGGGAUCGCAAGACCUCGCGCGAUUGGAGCGGCCGAUAUCAGAUUAGGUAGUUGGUGGGGUAAAGGCUCACCAAGCCAACGAUCUGUAGCUGGUCUGAGAGGACGACCAGCCACACUGGAACUGAGACACGGUCCAGACUCCUACGGGAGGCAGCAGUGGGGAAUUUUGGACAAUGGACGCAAGUGUGAUCCAGCCAUUCCGCGUGCAGGACGAAGGCCUUCGGGUUGUAAACUGCUUUUGUACGGAACGAAAAAGCUCUUAUUAAUACUAGGAGUCCAUGACGGUACCGUAAGAAUAAGCACCGGCUAACUACGUGCCAGCAGCCGCGGUAAUACGUAGGGUGCAAGCGUUAAUCGGAAUUACUGGGCGUAAAGCGUGCGCAGGCGGUUAUAUAAGACAGAUGUGAAAUCCCCGAGCUUAACUUGGGAACUGCAUUUGUGACUGUAUAGCUAGAGUACGGCAGAGGGGGAUGGAAUUCCGCGUGUAGCAGUGAAAUGCGUAGAUAUGCGGAGGAACACCGAUGGCGAAGGCAAUCCCCUGGGCCUGUACUGACGCUCAUGCACGAAAGCGUGGGGAGCAAACAGGAUUAGAUACCCUGGUAGUCCACGCCCUAAACGA